AGGACGAACGCUGGCGGCGCGCUUAACACAUGCAAGUCGAACGGAGAUAUUAGGAGAUAAGCCUCGGGUUUAAGGAAUAGAUAUUUCAGUGGCGAACGGGUGAGUAACACGUGAGCAACCUGCCCCAAAGAGGGGGAUAACACUUAGAAAUAGGUGCUAAUACCGCAUAAGACCACAACGUCACAUGACGAAGGGGUCAAAGGAGAAAUCCGCUUUGGGAUGGGCUCGCGACUGAUUAGGCAGUUGGUGAGGUAAUGGCUCACCAAACCUACGAUCAGUAGCCGGACUGAGAGGUUGGACGGCCACAUUGGGACUGAGACACGGCCCAGACUCCUACGGGAGGCAGCAGUGGGGAAUAUUGGGCCAAUGGGGGGAAACCCUGACCCAGCGACGCCGCGUGAGGGAAGAAGGUUUUCGGAUUGUAAACCUCUGUCUUCGGGGACGAUAAUGACGGUACCCGAGGAGGAAGCCACGGCUAACUACGUGCCAGCCGCUGC
rnacentral:rRNA from 1 species